rnacentral:rRNA from 1 species
CAGUUAAAAAGCUCGUAGUUGGAUUCCUGACCUGGGGUAGCCGGUCCGCCUUGCGAAAGGUGCGCACUGAGCGGCCUCGGUCAUCCUUGAGAAGAGCGGUCCUGGCAUUCAGUUGUCGGGGUCGGGAUUCUCGACGUUUACUGUGAAAAAAUCAGAGUGUUCAACGCAGGCUUACGCCUUGAAUACAUUAGCAUGGAAUAAUGAGAUAGGACCUUGGCGGUCUAUUUUGUCGGUUUGCACGCCGAGGUAAUGAUUAAAAGGGACGGUUGGGGUUCUUCGUAU